AAGUGAGGUAGAGGCGCGGUAUUUAACAGUCUUUAGCAGAGUUUGAGAGACGUUGAAGCUAGAGAGAAGGAAAUAUCGCCGAAGUGAGUAAAUUGUUCUCAACAAUUGCUUGCUGGGUCUGUAGUGAAGAACUGCAGGACUGUCUCAAUAAGUUUACCAGCUUAUUGAGUUGUGCUAUCUCAUCU
rnacentral:ncRNA from 2 species